rnacentral:rRNA from 1 species
CGCCUGUUUUAUCAAAAACAUGGCUUUUUGUAGAUGAUUUAAGGUCUGACCUGCCCAAUGAUUAUAUUUAAAUGGCUGCAGUAUUUUGACUGUACAAAGGUAGCAUAAUCAUUAGUUUCUUAAUUAGAAGCUGGUAUGAAUGGUUUGAUGAGAAGUUGACUGUCUCAAUUUAAUUGAUUUAGAAUUUUAUUUUUAAGUGAAAAAGCUUAAAUUUUUUAGGAAGACGAGAAGACCCUAUAGAGUUUAAUAUAUUUUUAGUUAUUAAUUAUUUGUUUUUAAUAUUUUUAACCUGUUAAUGUAUUUUGUUGGGGUGACGUGAAAAUUAAUUUAACUUUUUUAUAUUUUUACACUGAUUAGUGAAUUUAUGAUCCUUUCUUGGAUUACAAGAUUAAAUUACCUUAGGGAUAACAGCGUAAUUUUUUUUGAAAGUUCUUAUUGAUAAAAAAGUUUGCGACCUCGAUGUUGGAUUAAAAUUAAUUUUUGGUGUAGAAGCUGGAAAAUUAGGUCUGUUCGACCUUUAAAAUUUUACAUGAUCUGAGUUCAGACCGG